AUGCCUAGAUGUGCGCCCCUUUCUUUACACUAUUUCCCUUAUCACACUAAGAUGCAGCACUAUAUGCUAAUUACUUUAUGUACACUUCAGCCCUUUUGGGACGGAGAUCAACUCCCGCUGUUUGAUGAAGACGACGAUUUUUGUGUGAGUGUACAAUGCUCUACCGAUGAUGGUGAUGCGUCUCGUCGCAAUCUGUUAAAAAAAAUCACAAAUUAGCAGGCUACACGAAUCGAAACUUCCAAAGAGCUUUUCUUUCAGCUAAUACGUGAAAAUGCGGUUUUAGUUUCUUCUUUUCUUCCUACAACUGCCCCUAGGUGCACCACACGAAUCAAUUCACACUCCCCUAGAUAUCGAGAGAAGCCAACAUACACACCGUACGUACAACAGCGCCAGUAUGCAGUUUUACUAGUUUUGUGGAGUUUCCAAUGUAAGG